rnacentral:rRNA from 1 species
AUUGAACGCUGGCGGCAGGCCUAACACAUGCAAGUCGAGCGGAUGAAGGGAGCUUGCUCCUGGAUUCAGCGGCGGACGGGUGAGUAAUGCCUAGGAAACUGCCUGGUAGUGGGGGAUAACGUCCGGAAACGGGCGCUAAUACCGCAUACGUCCUGAGGGAGAAAGUGGGGGAUCUUCGGACCUCACGCUAUCAGAUGAGCCUAGGUCGGAUUAGCUAGUUGGUGGGGUAAAGGCCUACCAAGGCGACGAUCCGUAACUGGUCUGAGAGGAUGAUCAGUCACACUGGAACUGAGACACGGUCCAGACUCCUACGGGAGGCAGCAGUGGGGAAUAUUGGACAAUGGGCGAAAGCCUGAUCCAGCCAUGCCGCGUGUGUGAAGAAGGUCUUCGGAUUGUAAAGCACUUUAAGUUGGGAGGAAGGGCAGUAAGUUAAUACCUUGCUGUUUUGACGUUACCAACAGAAUAAGCACCGGCUAACCUCGUG